rnacentral:misc_RNA from 1 species
UAUAAAUAAAUAAAUAAAAUUUUCUAAAAUUUAUAAUAUAUGAUUUUAGUGGGCUUGCCAUUUAAAUAUAUAUUUUUAGUUGUCUAACCUUAUAAAUAUUCAUUGGGAAAUUUCAUAUAUAUCAUCAAUAAAUUAUCCAUAAAUAGAUCUUAGAUUUUUUAUACUAUUAGUCCAGUAUUUGCAUAGGAUCGAGACAAAUUAAGUUGCUUGAACUUCAUCUAAUUAUUCUUAUUGUGACAAAGAUUUGAUAUGGAG